rnacentral:tRNA from 1 species
CGACAUAGCUCAGUUGGUAGAGCAGCGCCUUCGUAAGGCGAAGGUCGGAGGUUCGAGUCCUCUUGUCGGC